GACGAACGCUGGAGGCGUGCUUAACACAUGCAAGUCGAACGAUGAAAUGGAGCUUGCUCCAUGGAUUAGUGGCGAACGGGUGAGUAACACGUGAAUAACCUGCCCUUAAUUUUGGAAUAACCCAGGGAAACCUGGGCUAAUACCGGAUAAGUAAACCUGUGGCAUCACAUGGGUUUGGAAAGUUUUUCGAUUAAGGAUGGAUUCGCGGCCUAUCAGCUUGUUGGUGAGGUAAGGGCUCACCAAGGCGACGACGGGUAGCCGGCCUGAGAGGGUGAACGGCCACACUGGGACUGAGACACGGCCCAGACUCCUACGGGAGGCAGCAGUGGGGAAUAUUGCGCAGUGGACGAAAGUCUGACGCAGCGACGCCUCGUGAGGGACGAAGGUCUUCGGAUUGUAAACCUCUUUCAGCAGGGACGAAGCGAAAGUGACGGUACCUGCAGAAGAAGCACCGGCUAACUAUGUGCCAGCAGCCGCAGUAA
rnacentral:rRNA from 1 species